CCUUGUACACACCGCCCGUCAAGUCAUGAAAGUCGGUAACACCCGAGGCCAGUGGCCCAACCGCAAGGAGGGAGCUGUCGAAGGUGGGAUCGGUGAUUAGGACU
rnacentral:rRNA from 1 species